rnacentral:tRNA from 1 species
GGAGAUGUAGCUAAGAGGUAUAGCACUUACCUAACAUGUACAAGGCCCUGGGUUUGAUCCCCAGAACUACCC